CCUACGGGAGGCUGCAGUGGGGAAUAUUGGACAAUGGGCGAAAGCCUGAUCCAGCCAUGCCGCGUGUGUGAAGAAGGCCUUCGGGUUGUAAAGCACUUUCAGUGGGGAAGAAAGCCUUGGGGCUAAUACCCUCGAGGAAGGACAUCACCCACAGAAGAAGCACCGACUAACUCCGUGCCAGCAGCCGCGGUAAUACGGAGGGUGCGAGCGUUAAUCGGAAUUACUGGGCGUAAAGCGCGCGUAGGCGGUCUGAUAAGCCGGUUGUGAAAGCCCCGGGCUCAACCUGGGAACGGCAUCCGGAACUGUCAGGCUAGAGUGCAGGAGAGGAAGGUAGAAUUCCCGGUGUAGCGGUGAAAUGCGUAGAGAUCGGGAGGAAUACCAGUGGCGAAGGCGGCCUUCUGGACUGACACUGACGCUGAGGUGCGAAAGCGUGGGUAGCAAACAGGAUUAGAUACCCUGGUAGUC
rnacentral:rRNA from 1 species